GGGAGUACAGCUCAGUGGUAGAGCACGUGCUUAGCAUUCAUGAGGUCCUGGGUUCAAUCCCCUGUACUGCCG
rnacentral:tRNA from 1 species